AUACAUCUAUUUGACAAGCCUGGGGCAGUUAACUGUCUGUUGCUCAGGUUUCCAUGACAGAUACAAGAAGAAAGAGUCCUUGCACUUUCUGUCUCUGAUUGUGGCAGCCCAGAUUGAAUGGGGGAAUAUAGGG
rnacentral:snoRNA from 1 species